rnacentral:rRNA from 1 species
UACGGGGGGGGGCAAGCGUUGUUCGGAAUUACUGGGCGUAAAGGGCUCGUAGGCGGCCAACUAAGUCAGACGUGAAAUCCCCCGGCUUAACCAGGGAACUGCGUCUGAUACUGGAUGGCUUGAGUUUGGGAGAGGGAUGCGGAAUUCCUGGUGUAGCGGUGGAAUGCGCAGAUAUCAGGAGGAACACCGGUGGCGAAGGCGGGUCUCUGGACAGUUCCAUGACGGCUG